rnacentral:rRNA from 1 species
GACGAACGCUGGCGGCGUGCUUAACACAUGCAAGUCGAACGGAAAGGCCCUGCUUUUGUGGGGUGCUCGAGUGGCGAACGGGUGAGUAACACGUGAGUAACCUGCCCUUGACUUUGGGAUAACUUCAGGAAACUGGGGCUAAUACCGGAUAGAAGCUCCUGCUGCAUGGUGGGGGUUGGAAAGUUUCGGCGGUUGGGGAUGGACUCGCGGCUUAUCAGCUUGUUGGUGGGGUAGUGGCUUACCAAGGCUUUGACGGGUAGCCGGCCUGAGAGGGUGACCGGCCACAUUGGGACUGAGAUACGGCCCAGACUCCUACGGGAGGCAGCAGUGGGGAAUAUUGCACAAUGGGCGGAAGCCUGAUGCAGCAACGCCGCGUGCGGGAUGACGGCCUUCGGGUUGUAAACCGCUUUCAGCAGGGACGAAGCUUUUUGUGACGGUACCUGCAGAAGAAGCACCGGCUAACUACGUG